UGGGUCGGAUCUGCAUCAUUUACUGUGAAAAAAUUAGAGUGUUUAAAGCAGGCUGUCGCUUGAAUACAUUAGCAUGGAAUAAUAAGAUAGGACUUCGGUCUAUUUUGUUGGUUGCGAACCGAGGUAAUGAUUAAUAGGGAUAGUUGGGGGUAUUCAUAUUUAAUUGUCAGAGGUGAAAUUCUUGGAUUUAUGAAAGAUGAACAACUGCGAAAGCAUUUACCAAGGAUGUUUUCAUUAAUCAAGAACGAAAGUCAGGGGAUCGAAGAGGAUUAGAUACCCUCGUAGUCUUGACCAUAAACUAUGCCGACUCAGGAUUGGCAGGC
rnacentral:rRNA from 10 species